AAGUGUCCAGCUGCCUCUGGUUUAUGUGAAGAAAGAAGAUGAAAAAUGAGAAGGCAGGAUCGGUAACCACUUUACCUACAAUGGUUAGAGAAGGCGAGAAUUGGAAUCUGAAUGCUAAGAAGAGGCAGCUAAGAGAAGAUCUGAAAAUCAAACAUUUCUAACAGAAGGCACGGAAAGGGUUCCCAGGAAUCUCAAGAAGUAUCAAAGAACUGAGACUUACCAGAUCACCACACCCAGAUAAUGAGUUGCCGACCCCUCAUUCAUCGUGACUGCUUCCUUGCCCCUUCCCAGUUCCUGCUU
rnacentral:lncRNA from 1 species